UAUCUCUAUCGUAUGAGAAACUGCUUGGAAUAUUCUGGAACUGCUAAGUCAGACAUCUACAUGAGGAGAAACAGAACUGAUGAGAGAACUGGAGACACCUGUUCCACUACUGGAUGUCCAACUUCUAAUGUCUGCGUCAAUAUCCAACUAGGGGUGAUAUGUCUUCCGGAUUUAGUCCAAAAACAACAUACAAAGUACAACGCUACUUUUGUCGACAUCGAUGGCGUAUAUUUCGGCUUAUAUCCAUCCCCUG